UACCAGCACCCCGAGUGGUCGGGACGAUUAUUGGGCCUAAAGCAUCCGUAGCCGGUUUUACAAGUCCUCCGUUAAAUCCAGCUGCUUAACAGAUGGGCUGCGGAGGAUACUAUAAGACUAGGAGGCAGGAGGGGCAAGCGGUACUCAGUGGGUAGGGGUAAAAUCCGUUGAUCCAUUGAAGACCACCAGUGGCGAAGGCGGCUUGCCAAUACGCGCUCGACGGUGAGGGAUGAAAGCUGGGGGAGCAAACCGG
rnacentral:rRNA from 1 species